AUUGAACGCUGGCGGCAGGCUUAACACAUGCAAGUCGAGCGGAGAUGAGGUGCUUGCACCUUAUCUUAGCGGCGGACGGGUGAGUAAUGCUUAGGAAUCUGCCUAUUAGUGGGGGACAACAUUCCGAAAGGGAUGCUAAUACCGCAUACGUCCUACGGGAGAAAGCAGGGGAUCUUCGGACCUUGCGCUAAUAGAUGAGCCUAAGUCGGAUUAGCUAGUUGGUGGGGUAAAGGCCUACCAAGGCGACGAUCUGUAGCGGGUCUGAGAGGAUGAUCCGCCACACUGGGACUGAGACACGGCCCAGACUCCUACGGGAGGCAGCAGUGGGGAAUAUUGGACAAUGGGGGGAUCUCUGAUCCAGCCAUGCCGCGUGUGUGAAGAAGGCCUUAUGGUUGUAAAGCACUUUAAGCGAGGAGGAGGCUACUGAGACUAAUACUCUUGGAUAGUGGACGUUACUCGCAGAAUAAGCACCGGCUAACUCUGUGCCAGCCGCCGCCGUAAAAC
rnacentral:rRNA from 1 species